rnacentral:rRNA from 1 species
AUGGGGUGCAGCAGGCGAGAAAACUUUGCAAUGUGCGAAAGCACGACAAGGUUAAUCCGAGUGGUUUCUGCUAAAGGAACCUUUUGUUAGUCCUAAAAACACUAACGAAUAAGGGGUGGGCAAGUUCUGGUGUCAGCCGCCGCGGUAAAACCAGCACCUCAAGUGGUCAGGAUGAUUAUUGGGCCUAAAGCAUCCGUAGCCGGCUCUGUAAGUUUUCGGUUAAAUCUGUACGCUUAACGUACAGGCUGCCGGGAAUACUGCAGAGCUAGGGAGUGGGAGAGGUAGACGGUACUCGGGAGAAAGUGGUAAAAUGCUUUGAUCUUUCGAUGACCACCUGUGGCGAAGGCGGUCUACCAGAACACGUCCGACGGUGAGGGAUGAAAGCUGGGGGAGCAAACCGGAUUAGAUACCCGGGUAGUCCCAGCUGUAAACUAUGCAAACUCAGUGAUGCAUUGGCUUGUGGCCAAUGCAGUGUUGCAGGGAAGCCGUUAAGUUUGCCGCCUGGGAAGUACGUACGCAAGUAUGAAACUUAAAGGAAUUGGCGGGGGAGCAC